rnacentral:misc_RNA from 1 species
CAAAAAGAGUUUAAAAGACCGAAAGCCUAGUCAUUUAUUGUAUAGUACAGCAAGUGUUUGGAGAAGCAGAGGUCUGAAUGUAGAAACGUAUCUAAUUCAGGCUAGUUCUACACACCAAAUACGACUAUCUGGACUAUGCUGACAACACGAAGAAAAAUAACCUGCAAAGUUGAUUUCGUGAAUAAUGCAACUAAUACUUCUGUUUUCUUUGAGAGGGAAUAUUGCUUAGGACAUGAAUGGGUCAACACAACUUUGCAGGGGAUUUUUAUAACCAUCAGCCUUUUUACUAACGCCACGUAUGAUGCAAUGAGAGUUUCUCCUCCAGGCAUUAUGUCCCUAGUGGCUGAGCAGAUACUUUUCGCUGACCCAACAUUUACAUGCGGAGUCUUCAAAAUAUUUUUGCCGCCCUCGGCUGGAGAUAAUCGCAAAGGUGGGAACUAUGAGUUGCGCAUGAGAGGGUCUUAUAACACUAUCUAUGAUUCAAUGUGCUACGCCGAAUUCAAGAAGUAUGCGCUAAAGGACUUCGUACAUGCUUUUCUGCCCGGUUGCACUGGUAGAAUAAUCAUAUGCAAAUAAUAGGCAGACCUCCCACAAUACUAUUCGAAUCAAAUAAAGACCUCUUCGCCGGCUUGCAAUAAUAGUGAGGUCAUCUGAAGCAACCAACCCGUAAUUUCAACAAAUGAGAAGAUUCAAACAUUACGCAUCAAGUCAAAACUACUAAUU